AUCUGACUGGCUUCCCCGCUGGGGUAGCUGGGGUCUGCUUCCUGAGGUGGUGCAGCUGGGGGAGGCUUUCCCUCUGAGGCCUCUUCCUUGACAGUGUAGAGGAGGGUUUCUGGCGCUUCAGGAAUCUUCCUCAGCCCUUUGGGGCUCAGCCUGUCAUCAAAGCGGGUUCCUUCUGGCCUAGAGCACACACAGCCUCAGGGCAAGGCAGCCUUGGAGAGCCCAGGGGGUGGUGGGAGGAGGUGUCACAAUUGGGAAGACUGGCGAGCCGUGGGCAGGCUGGGACAGACCCCUGUGUGUACGCGGUGACCCAAGUUCCAGUAGCGCCUUCCUUCCCCCUCCACUUCUGAAGGGAGCAGCUCAUCUUCAUCCUCUUGACAGCUUUUCUGCUUUCAAGUGUCCUUGGAGCCUUCAGCACCUGUGUCUCCUCUGAAGCCCUGACACCUCUCUGUGUGGCACCACUGAGCCUCAUUACUGCUGCCUCCUUGAUCUGAAAACUUAAUGCUUGAGCCUCUUCUCAAUAGGAAUUUAACCUAUGCUCUCUGAAGGAAAGUUUUGCUGAGAAAAUAGAGGGUCAUGAAGAAGGUCAAUGAUCUUCACUCCUCACCAGAAUCCAGCUGUCCUUCAGGCUUUCUGUAUCGCGUCAGCUGCAUCGUCAGUUAGGGUAGAGUUAUCUCUAGCUUUGAAUAAACACCCAGCCAGGUUCCUCUUAGAAACACCUUGUCACAGCUUACUUUGGGUUCACCACUGGGCUUCUUGAAGAUAGCUUGAUUAAUUCAUAGUGGCAGCCCCACCACCCAGUCACCUGAAACGAGAGGAUUUACUGUACCAGUUUACCGCUAAGCCAUGUCAGGUGAGAAGCGGGAAACUCUAGCCCAUCUGUUGCAAGGAACAAAAUAACAACGGCACAUCCACAGAGCAGACACUUUAUACUGCUGCAUAAUAAGGAGCCGCUGAAUGCAGUGACCUCGGCUGAGGUAGCCAUGGGUUCAGCCACCCACUCUCUGCUUCUCUGGGGAGCUAGCCUGCUUAGAUUUGUGGCUUUCUGUCCCCUGAGGAGAACCCUGGAGGGUCGGGGCCCCUGAACUUCAACAUUGCUCCUGUCCUGGCCACUCUCAGACUUUCUCUUCCAGCUUCGGCUGCAUUCAUAAUUUUCUAACUAUCUUUAUGCCACAGCAAAUGUUCCUAGGCAGAAUGUCCAGACUCAUGGGGACCCUUCUCAUCAGCCAGUCCCAUCAGCCUAGAAUUUCCCAGAUCAGUUGUAUGGGCCUUGUCAUAACAACCCGUCACCUUGGAGGACAGGGAGAAUUGAAGGCCUAGGACAGAGCCAGGUGGCUCUCCUGGUGGUUUUCCAUGACGAUGAAGGACUGGCCUUUUGCUUUGCUCAGGAGUGAGCUGACAGCUCUUUUUGAUUUGAAGCUUCCGUUCAGAACUCAGCAGGGGUUCUCCGUCCUCGCAACACUCUAGUUAGGCAAUUGCUCAUAAACUCUUCUCCAGCCCGGACAGGCCACUCAAAUCAAGUAGCAACAGAACCUUCCAAGAGAAGCCUUUGAAGACAGACUGUUGAGGCUGGCCGUCGAUGUGUGAGGCCAGGACAGACCUGUGAUGAACUUCUUUCCCAUGAUGCCCUGCUGCCGAGGCCCCAAAAACCCACGUCUCAAAGGCUGUUUCUUCAAGGUAACAGCUCUGCCUUUGAACUCAGAAGGGAAGCGGGCAGUCGGGAGGCAGGAUUCGAUGUGCAUGUUUGAAUGAGAGGGUCCACCAGGAAGGUGCCGAUGCAUCUUUGGUUUAUGGUCAUGUGAGACCUUGGGGUGCGAAGAAGUAUGUCAGUGUGCAGUGACAUACGUGUCCAUGUGGGUCCACCAUAGGCCCCAAUGUGGGGCAGGGCUGGGAGGGGGUGUGUUAGCACAGCCUUGUGUGGGAGAUGAUGCAGGACUCUUCCGGAGGGCCCCCCCCAAUCCUGUUGUGUUUGAUUCAGAGGGUUGGGUGGAGGCUUUCCUGAAGGCUCUGAGAAGAGCUGCACCCACAGGCUGCAUGGUCAGGAGGUGGGAUGUGAGGAGUUGGACAAAGAAAAGGCCCCAGCCCAGCCCUGGCACCUGCCCGCUCCCCUGCACAGGCCCCCACUCCCAUGCAGGCAGUCCCCGAUGCGGCAGCCAGAGGGCAUUGAAAUGAAAACUCGACUGUCCUUUCUCUGUUCCAAGCCUCCAGUGGCUCCCCGUGACCCGGAACACCACCCACCCCUAACCUGGGCCCUGCCCGCGUGCUUGUCCCCCAGGUUCCCCAAUGCUCUGUAGCCCACAGCUGCCUGCAGACCUGCACCCAGGCUGCUCCUCCCCCACUCUCACCCUGGUUUCCCACUUGGCCCGGCCAGCCCUCCCCACCUUCAGGAAGCCCCCUGACUGUCUGGCCCUCACUGGCCAUCACAGCCUCCAUUGUCUUUGUCCCUCGGUGGAUGACUUGUUUGCUGGCCCCCUCCUUUACACUCAGCUCCAAGGGCGAGAGCCAUAGCUGCCUUGUGCAUUGUUACGUUCUCCAGCUUCUGUCUCCAUGCAUGCACACAGUAGGUGCCUAAUAAAUGUGUGUAGACGAGUAGAUGGAUGGGUAUGCUGUUUUUCUGAAUGCCUGUCUCCCCGACCAGACCAAACCCCAAAGGGCAGGGCCUGUCUUUCUCACACACUUAGAACAGAGUAAGCAUUCAGGUAAUUGUUGGGUGGAUGGACGGAUGGGCAGACGAAUGGAUGGACAGAGCAAAAAGAUUCAAAGACACUUGAUAUGAAAAAAGGCUACUGAAGUCGAAGGAUCCAUCUCAUGUGCAGAGUGACUUUCUGACAAUUUAUAGAAGGCUCUGGGCACGGGCAGAAGGCAUGGGGGCCAGAGGGUCCCCAGAAUGUACUGAGAGCAGAAGAAGCAAGGGUGAGACGCCUUCCCCUUAGAGCAAAUGAAUUCUCUAAGACGAGUCCUCUGAGAAACCACAAAUUCACCCCAUCGCAACAGCAGCACAUAGGGAUCCCUGAAGCCCAUUCACAAACCAUCACGGAGCCUAACCUGGCUCAGCAGGCUGGAGGGGGUGAGCCGAGGGGGGAGCUCAGCUAUGCAGGCAAGGUGGCAGGCCCACAGUGGCUUUGUGCUGGGGGGUUUGUCAUUGGGACGUGCUUGGGAGCUGGGCUCUUGGAGAUGGCUGGGCAGGAAGCCACCACCAGGCUGCCCUGCUGCCUGGGCCCUGGAGUUUCACGCGCUAGGCUUGAGUAGCCCCCUCAACGAGGC
ensembl:lncRNA